ACAAGUUAACAUUAUUUACUUGAGAGAAGAUAGUUUUCAAAUAUACAUUAAUUCAUCUUAAAUGAAACUUCCCCGGAUACACUCUCUUAAGCGAAGACUCAUCUAAACUCGUAUAGGAAAAACCACAUUUUUGACCAUUGACAAAAAGACAUUUAUUAUUGGCUCUAAAAAAAUGACAUUUAUUAGUCCAUUAGUUCAUAUUCAUAACAUCCCCCCGGCCACCAAAAAAAAAAAAAAAAAAACGACAAAAGAGUCAAAAAGAGGCCCUAGUGUCUCUCAAUGAAGUCGAGAUUUCUUGUUCUCAUCGCAAGAAAUUAAAUUAAAAUUCAAGAUAGUAAAAAUUGUGAUGAAUUUGUGUAUGCAGAUGACGUGCUGCAUGACCUUAACAUAGAUAACGAUGUUAUUCUC
rnacentral:lncRNA from 1 species